GUCCAACGGAAAUUGUUAGCAAAAUGCAAUCCACAUUUGCAAAAUGCACAACUGUACCAAAAUGAAACGUGUCCCAAGAUAGCUCAUCCUCGUUUUCAGGGCUACACAGCCUCGUUCCAGGUCUUUUCGCGCGGUGGUAAGUACAUUUUGCGAAUUGCGUUGAAAUAUGAGAAAGGCUGAUUGGCAUCAAACGUAAUAAAUCGCGCCUUCGUAUAAGGAUCGAGGAGGGGGUGUAUGAGGGACCUGGACUCUAUUGACAUGUAUUGUUCGAGACAAACCCUGAGUCAAACGAUUUACAGCCUCUUCAUAACUGGGGGGAGUUGUGUCGUCCGUUGCGGAUGCCUGACGAUGCAGUUCGGGCUGUCCACCACAGGCAUAAGAACUCGUGGCCUGCCUAGAUCUUUGUUCAACAUUUGAGUCCACAGGUGGACUUGAAAAAUAAGUUUCUACAACAGACUGUUCCCGAUUUCUAUCCACUUCCGACGUUUGAACAAUUUCCGAAUUUGAUUGAUGGUCUACUGUAGUUGUCUGCUCGUGGAUAAUGCGCACACGAAUGACCGUCGGCUCACGAUCGUUUCCCGAAGUCUCAAGUCUUGCGUCUAACUCUCGACGCCGUAUACAUAUACAUGUACAUGUACGGUGACCUAACCCAAAAAUCCAACUUCCAAAUAGAAAAGCAGCCGUCAAACACCGCAGCGGUAUCUCGAGUCCAAACAACAUUACAAUAAAGAUGGCCGAAUCAGUUCCUCGCACACGAGAACGUUAUCGGAACUAACAGUAACGCAAAUGAUAUCAUUUGGAAAAAUUCAAUGAAUGAUUAUAUUUGUACUCGGAAAAAAUCUUAAUGACAUUCAUUAACUAUAAAGUCGUUUUGACGUGCUUCUUGGAAUUAGUUAUUCAACGUGCACGAUUCAUUAUACUAUUACAAAGAGUUUUUAGUAUUAUUUUAAUUCCAGUAGAAAGAGGUUUAUAAUUGUGCUAUUUAUUGCAGUACCCGGAAAGUAUAUGAAGGAUUCAGCAAAUUAUGAAAGACUUUUAUAUCUGAAGCAGAAAUAUUUUAAAUGUUACUAGGACACCAUAAAACAAGCGCUCUGCCUCAGUGCCUCUGGUGGCCAGAAAGGCUUGAGAUUUCCAAAAGUUGGAGAAUUUCCAUAUAUAUGUUCGAUAUAUAAUGUAGGACUACACAAUCGUAUACAGCUCUUUCAAUUAAGGUUGUCCACGAGCAAAGCGGAAAAGUCGAAUACGAGCGCGAAAGGCUGCUG